CUUAAGAGUCAAAUUACUUUUUUGUGAGCUUGUGACAUUUACAAUUUUUUUUGCAACUUUUAUACAAAUUGCAGAAAAUUAAUUUUAAUUGAAACGCCUCUGUCUCGUGGGGGUUUUUUUACUUUCCAAAUUUCGAGAUAUCUCCGCUUUCUAUUUCUGUCUUUCCUGUCUGUGUGGACCACCAAAUGACUUUCCGGUUGGGACAACUUCUUCGAUUCAUUCAGAUCUCAGACUACGUUGGCGGAAUAUUUCUCGUUUUUUUUUUUAAGCCAAGAGAGAAUAUGCAAGAAAGAGAAUAAUAACAAAGAGAAUGCAAACAGAAAUCUGCCAUCUAAAUACCGUCAAAUCUGGCCGGCUGUUAACAGCUGUUCGCGUGAAACCACUUUUUUAAACCCGCUUUGGGAUAAAUAAACCGGUUUUCCCGCUAAAUGCUUUGUACUUAAACUUUGGCAGCACUGACACCUUUAACUUUAGCAAUAACGCAAAAUAUCCAUUGUACAAUGCUACGCGCCAACUCGAUGACGACGAAACAAAGGAUCAACUUUAUUUCCAACUUUAUUCAGUGACACGCUCUAUACCAAUAGGAGACAUUAAACUUGUUAUGGGAAAUUUCAAUCAAUCAUGGGAAUGCCAGGACUUGGCGAUGCCAGGAAUGACAAUGGCGAUAGAUUGAUUGAUUUCUUCUCAAGAAAGCGGCACUUUAUUGAAGGCACAAAAUUCCUCCAUGAAAUAUAUACACAAAUAUACUUGGGAAUCACCAGAUGAAAAGACCCGUAAUCAAAACGACCACAUACUUGCCAUCAAACUCUUUCUGGGUUCGCUGAUGGAUGUGAAAACUAAACGAGGAGCCUAUAUCGAUAGUAACCACAUGCUCUUAGUGACCACUCUACGUCUACGCCCAGCCGUCGUGAAAAGGACUCAAACAAAAAGCACAAAGUUCAACCUCUUAAACCUAGAGAACCUCGAACAAAGGGGCAACAUUAACGGAGAUGCUGCAAAAUAACACUCAUACAUUGGCCCACAUAUCAUCAACAUGUACGGAGGCGGCCACCUCUAUCAUAGGCAUUGCUCGACGAUCCCAACAACCAUGGAUAAGCAACGAAACUGUAGAGGAAAUAAAACACCGUGAGGCCGUUCUGGCCUCACUCAAAAGCGGCAAAUCAGCUGACCCUGGUAAUAUACCUGCUGUACUGUUACAGUAUGGGCAUACCCCAUAGCUCAAGCGAUCACGCCAAUAAUCAGGGAGGCCUGGGAUACAAACGCUGUCCCCACGAAAUGGAAGAAGGGGAUCAUGGUCACAAUCCCAAAGAAGGGUAACCUAACCCAGUGUAAGAACUGAAAUGGGAUUACAUUGCUAAACGCAAUAAAAGUGAUGGCAAGUCUUCUUCUGCAACGUA